rnacentral:rRNA from 1 species
UACGUAGGGUGCAAGCGUUGUCCGGAAUUAUUGGGCGUAAAGAGCUCGUAGGCGGUCUGUCGCGUCGGCUGUGAAAUCCCGAGGCUCAACCUCGGGUCUGCAGUCGAUACGGGCAAACUAGAGUAUUGCAGGGGAGACUGGAAUUCCUGGUGUAGCGGUGAAAUGCGCAGAUAUCAGGAAGAACACCCGUGGCUAAGGCGGUUCUCUAGUACGGUACUGACGCUGAGACGCGAAAGCGUGGGGAGCGAACAGG